UACGUAGGGUGCAAGCGUUUGUCCGGAAUUAUUGGGCGUAAAGAGCUCGUAGGCGGUUUGUUGCGUCGGCUGUGAAAUCCCGAGGCUCAACCUCGGGUCUGCAGUCGAUACGAGCAAACUAGAGUGUUGCAGGGGGAGACUGGAAUUCCUGGUGUAGCGGUGAAAUGCGCAGAUAUCAGGAGGAACACCGGUGGCGAAGGCGGGUCUCUGGGCAACAACUGACGCUGGAGGAGCGAAAGCGUGGGGGAGCGAACAGG
rnacentral:rRNA from 1 species